rnacentral:rRNA from 1 species
UACGUAGGGCGCAAGCGUUAUCCGGAAUUAUUGGGCGUAAAGAGCUCGUAGGCGGUCUGUCGCGUCUGCUGUGAAAACUCGGGGCUUAACCCCGGGCCUGCAGUGGGUACGGGCAGACUAGAGUGCGGUAGGGGAGACUGGAAUUCCUGGUGUAGCGGUGAAAUGCGCAGAUAUCAGGAGGAACACCGGUGGCGAAGGCGGGUCUCUGGGCCGUAACUGACGCUGAGGAGCGAAAGCAUGGGGAGCGAACAGG